GCAAAUCAGUAUAAAUUGAUAAUAUAUAAUUAUUAAUUAUGUUUUUAUUUAUUUAUUUUAUUAAAAAUAAUUAUAUUUUUAUUUGUUGAAGUAUUUUAUAAAAAAAUAAUAAUUUUAAUUAUAGAAAAUUAGUAUCGUAAGAGAAUUUUGAAAUAAAUGAAAUAUAUAUAUAUAUAUAUAUAUAUAUAUAUAUAUUUAUAAUAAGAAAAUUUAAUUUAUUGUACCUUGUGUAUCAGGGUUUAUUAAAUAAAAUAUCUGUAAAGAUUUUUCUCGAAAAAAAAAGAUUUAAAAAGAUAUAAUAGUUUAUGUGUCAUAAUUAUUAUAAAUGUCUUUUUUGAAAUUAAAUGUUAUUCGAUUUUUUUGAUAUCUAGUUUUUCAAGAAAUAAAUUUAAUUUAGUUAUUGUAGAUUUAUUAAAUUAUUUAUAUUUAAUUUAAUAAUUUAUAAUUAUAAUAUUUAAUGGGAUGAGCUGUUAAAUAAAUUUUUAAAAAUUAAAUAUUAUAAAGUAUUUAUAUGCUUAUAAUUAGCAAUUAUUAAUAAAUUUGUUAUAAAUUAUACUUUAAUAAUUAAUAUUUUAUUAGUUUUAAAUUUUUUAUUGAAAUUUUUAAUUUAACAUUAAAAUUAAAUUAAUAAUGAUAAAAUUAGUAUAAAAUAAAGUUUGAAUUUGUAAAAUAGUAAAUUUUUUGUAAGGAAUUCGGCAAAAAUUGUAUUCGCCUGUUUAACAAAAACAUGUCUUUUUGAAUUUAAAUUUAAAGUCUAAUCUGCCCACUGAUGUUUUAAAUGGCCGCAGUAUCCUAACUGUGCAAAGGUAGCAUAAUCAUUAGUCUUUUAAUUGAAGGCUUGUAUGAAUGAUUGGACGAGAUAUAAGCUGUCUCACAAAAAUAAUUAGAAUUUUAUUUUUUAGUUAAAAAGCUAAAAUAUAUUUAAAAGACGAGAAGACCCUAUAGAUCUUUAUAUUAUUUAUAUUAUGAAUUUGAGGUUAUUUUUUCUUAUAAUAUUUUAUAAUAUUUUGUUGGGGUGACAUUGAAAUUAAAUUAACUUUCAUUAAUUUAUAAACAUUAAUUUAUGAAUUUAUGAUCCUUUAUUAUAGAUUAAAAAUUUAAGUUACCUUAGGGAUAACAGCGUAAUUAUUUUGGAGAGUUCUUAUCGAUAAAAUAGAUUGCGACCUCGAUGUUGGAUUAAGAUUAAUUCUAGGCGUAGCAGUUUAGUUUAUUAAGUCUGUUCGACUUUUAAUUUCUUACAUGAUCUGAGUUCAAACCGGCGUAAGCCAGGUUGGUUUCUAUCUUUAAAAAAUUAUAAUAUUUUAGUACGAAAGGACCAAGUAUUAAAAAUAUUAUUUUUAAUAAUAAUGAAUUUUAUUAAUUUUUAUUAA
rnacentral:rRNA from 1 species